UACAGAGGGUGCAAGCGUUGUUCGGAAUUAUUGGGCGUAAAGCGCGUGUAGGCGGCUUUGCAAGUCGGGUGUGAAAGCCCUCAGCUCAACUGAGGAAGUGCGCCCGAAACUGCAGAGCUUGAGUACCGGAGAGGAUGGUGGAAUUCCCAGUGUAGAGGUGAAAUGCGUAGAUAUCGGGAGGAACACCAGUGGCGAAGGCGAGUCUCUGGGCUGAUACCGACGCUGAGGCGCGAAAGCUAGGGGAGCAAACGGG
rnacentral:rRNA from 1 species